AGAGGAAGUGGUGGCUAUGAGUCAGCAUGAGUCAUCUCGUUCCAAUGAGAAUGAAGGCUGAGGUGUGCGCCUUUUUUUUUUUUCCUUCUUAGUCGUGUGUACAUCAUUGGGAAUGGAGGGAAAUAAAUGACUGGAUGGUCGCUGCUUUUUAAGUUUCAAAUUGACAUUCCAGACAAGCGGUGCCUGAGCCCGUGCCUGUCUUCAGAUCUUCACAGCACAGUUCCUGGGAAGGUGGAGCCACCAGCCUCUCCCUGACAAGCAAAGUGGAUCAGCAAAGGCUGCAGUCACCAGCAUCUUUUCCAACCUUAAUGAACUGUAUCCUCAAAAGAACACUAUCAGACUGGCUCUGCCGACUUCCAGUUCUGGAACAAGAUGGUUAAACUCAUUUUUCCCUGCUCUGCUCCUCUAAAUACAACUAAGUACCUUGGAAACUAUUCAGCAGACAAUGAUAAAGGGCUCUGAAAGCUAGAAGAAAAGGUGUACUUGCAAGAAACCUCAGGACUUGAGUAACAGCAACAUGCUCACCAAGCUCCUGUAUCUACUGGAAAAUGGAAGUCCAGCCUUACCAACUUGUGAACCUUGUCUGAAGGGAGCCAGGGCCUGCCAAUGGAACCACCUCCAGGAGCUGCAACUGCUGUUGUCAUUAAUACCAUUGUGUCUAUUUUUUGAGAGAGAUAAACUUUUCAUGGUGUUACAUUUUGGAAAAAAAAAAAAAAGACUAGGUGAACAGUCAGGUAGGAAAGCAGCAUAACAGUCCCUUAAAUUCUGAUCAUGUAGGACAUUCUUCUUUGCCCUGGGCCUGGGAAAAUGCAGCAUGUUCCAGAGCAAAAGUCCUAAUGAGGGGAACUAAACCAGUGGGACCCAAACCAAUGUCCUGGCUCACUGAGGACCCGUUAGAACCAAAUCUCUGGGUGUGGACAGGCUCCCAUACUUUUCAAAAAUUCCCCUGAUGACUAAUGAACAACCAGAGGUAAGAACCAGUGGCCCAGAGGAAUAACCAGCCCAGCUGUUGUACGAGCUCGCUAAGCUGGCUCAGGUCAAUGUUGAAUUCUCUGCUAGGCAGCUCCUCAUAAGAACUGGCAGAGAUGGUUCUUACACAACAACAGGUGACAACUCCAGACUCUGCCGGAAGUUCCAGGAUCUGGGUUCCCGGACAAUGCAUGACACUCAGUCCAGCAUUGCAGGUGGAAGAGCGACGGUGAAAAGACCAAAGUCAAUUAAAAUGUGUUAACCAAAACAGGAAACAUGAGUGAGGUGAUUGAGAGUGUGUUUAACUUAGAUGUGUGAUUUUAUCAAUACUUUCAUUGUUCAAAAACUCUUAUUUUUUAAAGAUAUUUUCAAAACAAAUCCAAACUUUACUUUUCAUUCCAAAUUCGUGUUCCGUCUAUACUUGCAUUUGGGGAAAGAUUGAAACAAAACACAAAUACUUUGUA
rnacentral:lncRNA from 1 species